GAUCCUGGCUCAGGAUGAACGCUGGCGGCGUGCUUAACACAUGCAAGUCGAACGGGAAAUAUUUUAUUGAUACUUCGGUGGAUUUAAUUUAUUUCUAGUGGCGGACGGGUGAGUAACGCGUGGGUAACCUGCCUUAUACCGGGGGAUAACAGCCAGAAAUGGCUGCUAAUACCGCAUAAGCGCACAGAACCGCAUGGUUCCGUGUGAAAAACUCCGGUGGUAUAAGAUGGACCCGCGUUGGAUUAGCUAGUUGG
rnacentral:rRNA from 1 species